AAAAUUCUAUCUAGCUAUGGUGACAGAAACACACAUAAACAUAAACAUAUUUAUUUAUUUUUUGACACCGAGUCUCACUGUGUCGCCCAGGCUGGAGUUCAGUGGCGCAAUCUUGGCUCACUGCAACCUCUGCCCUCCAGGUUCAAAGGAUUUUCCUGCCUCAGCCUCCUGAGUAGCUGGAAUUACGGCUUCAGAUCCAAAUGGUAUGCUAGCAUUCUCUUCCUAGCAGUCCACUGUCAAGACUUCACUGUUAGAAGAAGAAUCACACCAGAAUUAAGGUCAAAUGGAUUAUCUUAUUCUUAAUUGCUGAAAAUCACACCUCAUUGAAAUUUGCUUCAUAACUGAACCAUGAAUUUUUCAUCAAACAUACUUUUGUGUUUCUCCUCCUGGCAUUCUUUAUGAGGAACUUCUUUUUGGAGCUCACUGACUUCCUGUUCUAAUUUGGUCCAGUUAUUUUCUAGAAUUGCUACAUGACUGUCAUCCUGGGACAUCCUUCUGUUGGAAUCUGGGAGAGCUUACAACUUUUCAUAUCCUCUCUUCUUCUUUGUGUUUUUCACCCUGAAGUGUACAAAGUCAAAUGAAUUUCCUAGAAAAACUAGUGAGUUAAUAUUUUGAGUCCUUGUGAUAUGGGAGGGGGGCAGGGAAGUGCUGGGUAGAGAAGGGUGGGGUCCCUGGUGAGGGCUCCACUCUCAGGCCUGUGCUCAUGGACCUAAAUGAGGACAGGCAUUUCUGUUUUCAUGCCCCAAAUGUUGCCUUUUGGCCCACCAUGCGCCCCAUCCUGUACCCAUAAAAACCCAAGACUUGAGAAGGCACAGACACAAGUGGCGGGACGUCAAGAGAGCUGAAGAACACAGCAACAGACACCAGCAGACAACAUCAGGCCAUCGAUGGCUGCAUGAUGUGGAAUUUGGCUGGGGGCAGUUGGAGGAGAGUCUGGCUAUUGGGCGACCUGACUCCAGGGGAAGACUACCUUCCCACUCCAUCCCCCUUGGGGCUCCUCAUGCAUCUCACGAGAGCUACCUCCACCACUCAAUAAAACCUUGCACGCAUCCUCCAAGCCCACGUGUGAUCCGACUUCUUGGGUACACUAGGGCAAGAACCCGGGAUACAGAAAGCCCUCUGUCCGUGUGAUAAGGCACAGGGUCUAGUGGAGCUGAUUAACACAAGCCACCUGCAGAAGGCAAAGCUGAAAGAGCACACCACAACACAUGCCCACUGGGGCUUCGGGAGCUGCAAACACUCAACCCUAGACACUGUCGUGGGGUCAGAGCCCCAAAACACUCCCCACGACCUGCUCAUCUGCAUGCUCCCCUCAGGAGUUUGAGCAGCAGGUCACCGAAGAAGCGAGCCACACCCGUUGCAUGCCGUGUGAGGGGGAUAAGGGAACUUCUCCCAUUUCAUCUGAAUAUCUGAAAGUAUCUGUAGUUGGGACUCACGUUUUAUUUAUAAUUUGUCUCGAUAUAGAAGUAAAGGUAUAAUUUCCUAUAGAAAUUUGAAACAUUGUUCCCUUGUCACAUCUUGCUGAUAAAAAACCUUAUGUCAGAUGAUUUUUGGUCUGAUAAUAUAGAAAUUUUGAUUAACUUACUAAAUAAUUAUAUUUCAAUAUGAUUCAUUUGGUAAUAAUUUUAUUUUAUUUUUAUUCUGUCAUGUCUAUUUAAGUUGUAUAAUACUUUCAGAUAUAGAAUUUGACAAAGUUCCUAUGGCAAAUAUGAAGCUGCAUAAAAUCUGCUUCCUGACCCAGAGAACUUGG
rnacentral:lncRNA from 10 species